rnacentral:rRNA from 1 species
GAUGAACGCUAGCUACAGGCUUGACACAUGCAAGUCGAGGGGUAACGAGAGGAAAGCUUGCUUUCCUUGUCGACGACCGGCGCACGGGUGAGUAAUGCGUAUCCAACCUGCACCCAACUAAGGAAUAACCUUGCGAAAGUAAGACUAAUACCUUAUAAUUUCCUCAGAUGUCAUCUGACGAGGAAUAAAGCUUUAUCGGUAGUGGAUGGGGAUGCGUCUGAUUAGCUUUGUGGCGGGGGAACGGCCCACCAAGGCAACGAUCAGUAUGGGUUCUGAGAGGAAGGUCCCCCACAUUGGAACUGAGAAACGGUCCAAACUCCUACGGGAGGCAGCAGUGAGGAAUAUUGGUCAAUGGUCGAAAGCCUGAACCAGCCAAGUAGCGUGCAGGAUGACGGCCCUAUGGGUUGUAAACUGCUUUUAUACAGGAAUAAAGUUAGCCACGUGUGGUUAUUUGUAGGUACUGUAUGAAUAAGGACCGGCUAAUUCCGUGCCAGCCGCCGCCGUAA